rnacentral:rRNA from 1 species
GAUGAACGCUGGCGGCGUGCCUAAUACAUGCAAGUCGAGCGAACAGACGAGGAGCUUGCUCCUCUGACGUUAGCGGCGGACGGGUGAGUAACACGUGGAUAACCUACCUAUAAGACUGGGAUAACUUCGGGAAACCGGAGCUAAUACCGGAUAAUAUAUUGAACCGCAUGGUUCAAUAGUGAAAGACGGUGUUUCUGUCACUUAUAGAUGGAUCCGCGCCGCAUUAGCUAGUUGGUAAGGUAACGGCUUACCAAGGCAACGAUGCGUAGCCGACCUGAGAGGGUGAUCGGCCACACUGGAACUGAGACACGGUCCAGACUCCUACGGGAGGCAGCAGUAGGGAAUCUUCCGCAAUGGGCGAAAGCCUGACGGAGCAACGCCGCGUGAGUGAUGAAGGUCUUCGGAUCGUAAAACUCUGUUAUUAGGGAAGAACAAAUGUGUAAGUAACUAUGCACGUCUUGACGGUACCUAAUCAGAAAGCCACGGCUAACUACGUG